GAACACUAAGCCACAAACACUGAAGAAUGCAACAAACAGGGCCAUCGGAGGGAGGCUUACAAUAACAUAGGAAGAGGAAAGCGAGGACAAACACUAAGCCACAAACACUGAAGAAUGCAACAAACAGGGCCAUCGGAGGGAGGCUUACAAUAACAUAGGAAGAGGGAGCGAGGACAAACACUAAGCCACAAACACUGAAGAAUGCAACAAACAGGGCCAUCGGAGGGAGGCUUACAAUAACAUAGGAAGAGGGAGCGAGGACAAACACUAAGCCACAAACACUGAAGAAUGCAACAAACAGGGCCAUCGGAGGGAGGCUUACAAUAACAUAGGAAGAGGAAAGCGAGGACAAACACUGAAGAAUGCAACAAACAGGGCCAUAGGAGGGAGGCUUACAAUAACAUAGGAAGAGGAAAGCGAGGACAAACACUAAGCCACAAACACUGAAGAAUGCAACAAACAGGGCUAUAGGAGGAAGGCUAACAGUAACAUAGGAAGAGGAACAAACAAACAAACAAACGGUACUCUGAAGGAGGCAAACAGUAAUGGGAACAAACACAAGGUCACAAACACUGAAUUCCACAUAACAAACAGGGCUAUAGGAGGAAGGGUAACACUAACAUUGGCAGACAGAGAGAACAAACACGCCACAAACACCGACCCACACUCAUUACAUCAUAAACAGCACUUUUUGGGGGGGACAAACACCGAGUCACAAACACUGAAGAAUGCAUAACAAACAGGGCUAUAGGAGGAAG